rnacentral:rRNA from 1 species
AGAGUUUGAUCCUGGCUCAGGAUGAACGCUAGCUACAGGCUUAACACAUGCAAGUCGAGGGGCAGCAUGUUGGUUGCUUGCAACCAAUGAUGGCGACCGGCGCACGGGUGAGUAACGCGUAUCCAACCUACCCUUGUCCAUCGGAUAACCCGUCGAAAGGCGGCCUAACACGAUAUGCGGUUCUCAGCAGGCAUCUAACGAGAACGAAAUGUGAAGGAGAAGGAUGGGGAUGCGUCUGAUUAGCUUGUUGGCGGGGUAACGGCCACCAAGGCGACGAUCGAGUAGGGGUUCUGAGAGGAAGGUCCCCCANAUUGGAACUGAGACACGGUCCAAACGUCCUACGGGAGCA